CUGUCUCUCUCUCUCUCUCUCUCUGUCUCUCUCUCUCUCUCUCACACACACCCACACCCACACACACCGGUGUGUGUGUGUGUGUGUGUGUGUGAGAGAGAGAGAGAGAGAGAGAGAGAGCUAUCUUUCAA